rnacentral:tRNA from 1 species
GCGUGGGUGGCUCAGUCGGUUGAGCAUCUGACUUUAGCUCAGGUCAUGAUCUCCCAGUUUGUGAGUUCAAGCCCCGUUUCGGGCU